CCUACGGGGGGCAGCAGUGAGGAAUAUUGGUCAAUGGCCGGGAGGCUGAACCAGCCAAGUCGCGUGAGGGAAGACGGCCCUACGGGUUGUAAACCUCUUUUGUCAGGGAGAAAGUUGCAGGUCGGGACCUGCUGUGAGAGUACCUGAAGAAAAAGCAUCGGCUAACUCCGUGCCAGCAGCCGCGGUAAUACGGAGGAUGCGAGCGUUAUCCGGAUUUAUUGGGUGUAAAGGGUGCGCAGGCGGAGGCACAAGUCAGCGGUAAAAUCGCGGGGCUCAACCACGCUACGGCGUUGGAACUGUGUCCUUUGAGUGAGGGAAGGGGAGGCGGAAUGCGUGGGGUAGCGGUGAAAUGCAGAGAUGACACGGAGAAAUCCGAUCGGGAAGGCAGCCUACCGGCGCGCAACUGACGCUCAUGGACGAAAGCGUGGGUAUCGAACAGGAUUAGAUACCCCCAGUAGUC
rnacentral:rRNA from 1 species